rnacentral:rRNA from 1 species
AUUGAACGCUGGCGGCAUGCCUUACACAUGCAAGUCGAACGGUAACGGGCCUUCGGGUGCCGACGAGUGGCGAACGGGUGAGUAAUGCAUCGGAACGUACCUUUCAGUGGGGGAUAACGUAGCGAAAGUUACGCUAAUACCGCAUAUUCUGUGCGCAGGGAAGCAGGGGAUCGCAAGACCUUGCGCUGAUUGAGCGGCCGAUGUCAGAUUAGCUAGUUGGUGAGGUAAAGGCUCACCAAGGCGACGAUCUGUAGCGGGUCUGAGAGGAUGAUCCGCCACAGUGGAACUGGAACACGGUCCAGACUCCUACGGGAGGCAGCAGGGGGGAAUUUUGGACAAUGGGGGCAACCCGGAUCCAGCCAUGCCGCGUGAGUGAAGAAGGCCUUCGGGUUGUAAAGCUCUUUCGGCCGGGAAGAAAUCGCAUGGGUUAAUACCCUGCGCGGAUGACGGUACCGGCAUAAGAAGCACCGGCUAACUACGUGCCAGCCGCCGCGUAAUAC